AGGGAAGGAUAGCGCAGAUAUUUCAUUGUUUUAAUAUUCAAUUCAAUAUAAAAUGGACAGUUGUUCUUUGGAAUGCGGUUGGGUCUAGGUUCAGAAAAAUUCCCCCCAUUACAGUGAUUAUUCCUUUUUACACCAUCUUUAUUUAGAAAUUCUGGUAUCCAUUCAUGUAACAGUUGUUUCUCAGCUUCCGUCUCGGUAAUCAAUUUUUAGACCACGAGUAUGCUGACUGGUCACUUCUCGGCUUAGAACAUGGUGUGAUUUUCACAAGAGGGUGACAAGAGGGUGAUUAUUCAAUGUGCAGUCCCCUUGCUCCUGAAUCGGCUUAAAACAUGGUGUGAUUUUCACGUUGCCGUCCUGUUUUUUCCUCCAUUUUUUCUUGUCUUGUUCUACUGCCAUUGUUCUAUGGAUUUUAUCCACUUAUUUUCUAGUUUAACACUGCUGGUCAUGGGCUGGUCUAAAAUUUGUUACAUGAAAUCCAGAUUAAAACAGUUACGAAGUUCAGAUUGUUAGAGUUUUCAGAUUGUGCAUCUUGAGCAAUCAAACUGAGCCUAUUUUAUUCUUACAUAAUAGUGCUUAGAAGCUCCAUCAUCUGCUUCAUAGUGUCACUACAAGCAAAGAAUAGGCAUCAUCAAGUUUUGUGUCAUGGUAUUAAUUGAUUAUUGUAUACUGUACAUGCUAUGAUAGUUUCAAGAGCGUUCAAGAUUUUCAUGAAGUCAAACCAAGUUUGCAGGAUUAUUGAGAAAUUGAUUUGAACUGUAACAGUAGAACUUUAAAUAAGAAGUUAUAAUGCAUGGCACCAAAAUUGAGUAUUGUGUCUAUUUGUAAUGGAUUUGGCGAGUGAUUCGAGUAUUGCCGAGAUUUAAAACUGCCCAAUCAUUGAACAAUUCAGUUGGCCUAUUAGGAAUUCAGGCCUGUCCUUGGAGAUGGCGAGUGUUUCUACAUGAGCUUCAUAUUUUCCUACCUUGUAUUAAUCCUUCUCCCUAUAUCUUGGCAAAGGAUGUAAGUUUAGUUAUUUAACUCUAUUUAUCCUAAUAUACAUCAGGAGGAAGUUCUUGAUUGGCAGGACACAGUUGAGGAAAGCCGUGUCCUUGUAGCUGUUGAACGAGUUGCUACGCAACAUGCACAUCUAGGAUGGACCCCUGCAUUUUCUACGAACUCCAAAGUACGCUCUAUCCUUCUGCCUUCCCUGAGACAAACAUGCUUGUAAGGGAUGAUUCUCUUCAAAUUGCAGCAUGGUUGAUUACUUGAAGCUGGGUCUGGCAUCUUACUAUGUUUGUUUUAUCAUUUGCAGGACUAAACAGUGUUGGCAUGGCACUACAGUUUCAUAGCUUGUUCAUAUAAAGACAUAAGUACUCCCUUCAUUUCAUAAUGUAGUGCUUCCUCUAUCCUCGUGCUUCAACUUUGACUGUAAAUUUAACUACCAAGACCGAUUGCGGCGGGAGCGAAAAUUAUAUCAGUGAAUUCGUAUUCGAAAGAAGUUUUCAAUUAUAUAAUUUUUUCUCCUGCCGCAGUUGGUCUCGUUGGUUAAAUUUAUGGUCAAAGUUGGACCUCAGGAAUCGCGGGCGCACUAUAUUUUAAAAUGGAGGGAGUAGUUAAUAACGCAACUUUAGCCAAAAUGCACCUUAAGAGUUGUUUACAUGCAAAAUGAGACAAUAUAAUUGCAUUCUUUGAACAAUGAAAAGAUGCAUAUGUGC
rnacentral:lncRNA from 1 species